UACGUAGGGUGCGAGCGUUGUCCGGAUUUAUUGGGCGUAAAGAGCUCGUAGGCGGUUUGUCGCGUCGGCCGUGAAAUCUCCACGCUUAACGUGGAGCGUGCGGUCGAUACGGGCAGACUUGAGUUCGGUAGGGGAGACUGGAAUUCCUGGUGUAGCGGUGAAAUGCGCAGAUAUCAGGAGGAACACCGGUGGCGAAGGCGGGUCUCUGGGCCGAUGACUGACGCUGAGGUGCGAAAGCGUGGGGAGCAAACAGG
rnacentral:rRNA from 1 species